GGGGAAUUUUGGACAAUGGGGGCAACCCUGAUCCAGCAAUGCCGCGUGUGUGACGAAGGCCUUCGGGUUGUAAAGCACUUUUGGUGGGAACGAAACGGCGCCGGCUAAUACCUGGCGCUAAUGACGGUACCCGCAGAAUAAGCACCGGCUAACUACGUGCCAGCAGCCGCGGUAAUACGUAGGGUGCGAGCGUUAAUCGGAAUUACUGGGCGUAAAGCGUGCGCAGGCGGUUUUGCAAGACAGAUGUGAAAUCCCCGGGCUCAACCUGGGAACUGCAUUUGUGACUGCAAGGCUAGAGUGUGUCAGAGGGAGGUGGAAUUCCGCGUGUAGCAGUGAAAUGCGUAGAGAUGCGGAGGAACACCGAUGGCGAAGGCAGCCUCCUGGGAUAACACUGACGCUCAUGCACGAAAGCGUGGGGAGCAAAC
rnacentral:rRNA from 1 species